GAUGAACGCUGGCGGCGUGCCUAAUACAUGCAAGUCGAGCGAACGGACGAGAAGCUUGCUUCUCUGAUGUUAGCGGCGGACGGGUGAGUAACACGUGGAUAACCUACCUAUAAGACUGGGAUAACUUCGGGAAACCGGAGCUAAUAACGGAUAAUAUUUUGAACCGCAUGGUUCAAAAGUGAAAGACGGUCUUGCUGUCACUUAUAGAUGGAUCCGCGCUGCAUUAGCUAGUUGGUAAGGUAACGGCUUACCAAGGCAACGAUGCAUAGCCGACCUGAGAGGGUGAUCAGCCACACUGGAACUGAGACACGGUCCAGACUCCUACGGGAGGCAGCAGUAGGGAAUCUUCCGCAAUGGGCGAAAGCCUGACGGAGCAACGCCGCGUGAGUGAUGAAGGUCUUCGGAUCGUAAAACUCUGUUAUUAGGGAAGAACAUAUGUGUAAGUAACUGUGCACAUCUUGACGGUACCUAAUCAGAAAGCCACGGCUAACUACGUG
rnacentral:rRNA from 1 species